rnacentral:rRNA from 1 species
GACGAACGCUGGCGGCGUGCUUAACACAUGCAAGUCGAACGGAAAGGCCCCUUCGGGGGUCCUCGAGUGGCGAACGGGUGAGUAACACGUGAGUAACCUGCCCUUGACUUCGGGAUAACUUCAGGAAACUGGGGCUAAUACCGGAUAGGAAUCCUUGCUGCAUGGUGGGGGUUGGAAAGCUUCGGCGGUUUUGGAUGGACUCGCGGCUUAUCAGCUUGCUGGUGGGGUAGUGGCUUACCAAGGCUUUGACGGGUAGCCGGCCUGAGAGGGCGACCGGCCACAUUGGGACUGAGAUACGGCCCAGACUCCUACGGGAGGCAGCAGUGGGGAAUAUUGCACAAUGGGCGGAAGCCUGAUGCAGCAACGCCGCGUGCGGGAUGACGGCCUUCGGGUUGUAAACCGCUUUCAGCAGGGGCGAAGCUUGUGGUGACGGUACCUGCAGAAGAAGCACCGGCUAACUACGUG